rnacentral:lncRNA from 1 species
AGACUGAUGAUACUUGUGCUUAAAGAGAACAUGAAAACUCAUAGCCAAUAUGUUAUCAAUUUCAUUUUGUAUCCUCCAGUUCAAGAAAUCAAUCAGCUGAAAUAUGAAGUAUGAUUGGUAAGAAUACUUGAAAUCCAUAAACUUGAUUCAAGUAAGAUACUCUUUGGGAUUUUCUUAGAAUAGAAUGUGUCGUACCAUUUUAUACGCAUUUGAGACAUUCCCAUCCCUUGCUUUUAGAAAUCUAACCAAAUUCUCAGUGGGGUACCCUUGAUGUAUAUUCUGAAAACCAGGACAAAAUGUAACAGUUUAUACAUUUUUAUCCAUAAAAUUCGAACAAAAAAUUUGUCCGUGUAAUAUAUGCAAGUUUCCUAACGAGAAAAAAAAGAGGUUUAUAAGUUCAAUAUAACAUCUACUACAAAAACACUAGAACAUAAAAUGAAAGUCAAAAUUCUUUCUGAUAAAUUUUAUAUCAUGGCUAGCAUCAUGAAUUGUUACUAAUUCAAAAAAUAGCGCACAUACACAAAAAAGACAAAACAAAAUAAUUUGCAAAGCAUCUUCUUUAUCACAUCUUACUAUUGCCCCAUUUAAACAAAAUACUAUGUAUAUAUUUAUC